AUGGAGCCCAUGGCUGUUCCUUCACACGUGAAGUCCCGUUUCCGUGGGAAAACCCUCUUCUCACUCCUGCCCUGCCGUGUCUCGCUGGAAAGGGCAGCACCUGCUGGCACGCUUGUCUCCAUGUGCUCUGCGUUCUCGAUGUCUAAUGCCUCAAAUUUCUCAAUUACCUGAGAUCGCCUGUUGUUCGGGGUGCUGGGGCUGGGUGGGCUCGGUGGUGGUGGCAGCUGCUGCUCUUCCAGCUUUGAGUCUUGCUUAGUCUUCUCCAAGGAGAAGUAGCCGCUCUCAACACGAGUCUUCCGCCCACAGUCUAUCCGGUCCCCAUUCAUGGAGCUCUCGUCUUCCUUGUUGUCCAGUAUGGGAUCCUUCAGGGAGCUGGCAGCCCCCUGCACCGGGCUCUGUGCUGGGCUGAUGCUGCUGCCCGCAUCUCCUGACUCUUUGC
rnacentral:lncRNA from 1 species